rnacentral:rRNA from 1 species
UACGAAGGGGGCUAGCGUUGCUCGGAAUUACUGGGCGUAAAGCGCACGUAGGCGGCUCUUUAAGUCGGGGGUGAAAUCCUGGAGCUCAACUCCAGAACUGCCUUCGAUACUGGAGAGCUCGAGUCCGGGAGAGGUGAGUGGAACUGCGAGUGUAGAGGUGAAAUUCGUAGAUAUUCGCAAGAACACCAGUGGCGAAGGCGGCUCACUGGCCCGGUACUGACGCUGAGGCACGAAAGCGUGGGGAGCAAACAGG